UAAGUUUACAAUACUGUUGUUUUGUGUUCUUGCUGGCAUCCACCUGGAUGGUCAUAAAGCCUACUACUUUUACAGAGUGACUGUAAUGAAUGCAACUAUCCAUUAUUGUAUUACUUUAAAGACACCAAUACUAUCAAUGUAAUUUUUUUUGAAACAUUCAAAUUUUCACUGUUCCCUUGACCCACGUGGCCUCUCUUUCUCUCCCCUUAGGUAAUUUUUGGAGUGAAGGAUUGCCUUCCCAUGAUGUGGAGUUCACGUGUGUUCUUUUUGUUUCAUUAGCACCAAGGUCCAUGCAGCCUUUUGUCUCAGCAUAUGGUGCCACUUUUACUUACUGUGUUAUAAUUUGGUGUGUUCUAGUUAGUGUAAAUAAGAUAAUACAUAUAUUGUGUAUACUUCCUGUUGUUGUUGUUGUUCUCUGUUCUAGCAUUUUCUGCUGACUGUGAGACGGUUCAAACUGUACAUAUUAUAAGCAUUAGUCAUUUCAGAGGAGAUUUGACCUAGCUGCAAAACCUCCAUUGUGCCCAAAUACAAAUGCAGAACCCUCUCUUCUUCAAAGUCCUGUAAUCUGCCUUGUUUUUUUGAGUGUAAACGUUUUGUAAGCGUCUAAUCACGAGGAUCUAAUAGUUUUUUUAAUCUCCACUCCUGUUUUUACAUGUGGCCAUUGAAAGAACAAAAGGUUAUU